UUCGCAAUGCCCGAAAGGGUGACGAAGCGACGCCGCGUGCGGGAAGAAGGCCUUCGGGUUGUAAACCGCUGUCGGGAGUUAAGAAAUGUAAGGAUGUUAAUAGCGUCUUUGCUUGACUAAGGCUCCGGAGGAAGCCACGGCUAACUCUGUGCCAGCAGCCGCGGUAAUACAGAGGCGGCAAGCGUUGUUCGGAAUUAUUGGGCGUAAAGAGCACGUAGGCGGCUAUGUAAGUCGGUUGUGAAAGCCUUCCGCUCAACGGGAGAACAGCAUCCGAUACUGCAUGGCUUGAGUGUGGGAGGGGAGAGUGGAACUUCUGGUGGAGCGGUGAAAUGCGUAGAUAUCAGAAGGAACGCCGGCGGCGAAAGCGGCUCUCUGGCCCAUAACUGACGCUGAGUGUGCGAAAGCUAGGGGAGCAAACGGGAUUAGAUACCCCGGUAGUCCUAGCCGUAAACGAUGGGCACUAAGUAGAGGGGUUU
rnacentral:rRNA from 1 species